rnacentral:rRNA from 1 species
UACGGGGGGGGCAAGCGUUGUUCGGAAUUACUGGGCGUAAAGGGCGCGUAGGCGGCCUUCUAAGUCGGACGUGAAAUCCCUCGGCUUAACCGAAGAACUGCGUCCGAGACUGAAAGGCUUGAAUCCGGGAGAGGGAUGUGGAAUUCCAGGUGUAGCGGUGAAAUGCGUAGAUAUCUGGAGGAACACCGGUGGCGAAGGCGGCAUCCUGGACCGGCAUUGACGCUGAGGCGCGAAAGCUAGGGGAGCAAACGGG